rnacentral:lncRNA from 1 species
UUUUUUUUUUUUUUUAAUUUGUCUCUUUAGGGCCACACCCCUGGUGCAUAUGGAGUUUCCCAGGCUAGAGUUUGAAUCAGAGAUACAGCCACUUGGCCUACGUCACAGACACAGCAACGCGGUAUUUGAGCCACAUCUGUGAUCUACACCUCAGUUCACAUGGCAACGCUGGAUCCUUAACCCACUGAGCAAGGCCAGGGAUCGAACCCAUGUCCUCAAGGAUGCUAGUAAGGUUCUUUCCCUGAGCCAUGGUGGGAAUUCCUCAAGUUUCAUAAUAGUGUUCAUUGAAGCAGAAAAGUUUUUAAUUUUGAAGUUCUUCUCUAUUUCUUGUUAUUAAGAACCAACAGCUUUAUGUAAGCUAAAAAUGAUUUAUUCUUAUCUUUUCUUCUAAGAGUUGUAUAGUUUUAGUUCUCACAUUUAGAUCUUUAAUAUACUUUGAGUUAUUUUUGCAUAUGGCAUGAGGUAAAAGGGUCCAAUAUCUUUCUUUGGCAUGAGUUUAUCCAAUUGUUCCCCUAUCAUUUUUUGAAAAUACUGUGUUAGGUCCCAUAAGCAUAUGUUUAUUUCUGAGCUCUCAAUUCUAUUUCAUUGAUCUUUAAGUCUAUCUUUAUGCCAGUUCCAUAUUGGAAAGUAUCACUGUUUUAAUUAAUAUUUCUUUGCAGUUAAGUUUUGAAAUAGGAAAAUGUGAGUUUUACUAUUUUAUUCUUUAUCAAGAUUGUUUUUGACUCUUCUAGGUCUUGUGUAAUUCCAUAUGAAUUUUAAUAUCAGAUGAUCAAUUUCCAUAAUGAAUCCAGCUAACUGGUUGGGUUAUUUUGGGACAUCUAUUUCUUUCUGCAGUAUGAAAGCUUUGUUAUCGUUUCUCAGAGGAUAUAGCCUUGGUGUACCCACAGUCACCUGAGAUAAUACUGCAUUCAGUAAGACACUUUCCUCAUCCAUACUCAUCUGUUAAUCUCCAUUAAUUACUGGCUGGCUGUCUAUUGUUUACAACAAUGCUCUGGGACAUAACUUCCUUGCAGACAGAUUCAAUCAGACCUAGUUUGCAUUAGAGAUAGUUCUAUGGUUAGUGUUUGUUAUUUGUCUUUUUCCAGAAAGGCUUCUCUCUGUUUUCUCUUUCCUCAUUUGUCUCUUGCAAAUGAGCCUGCCAAUGGUUUAGCCUAUAUCGUCAAUGAAUUAAAUGAUUCUACCUCAUCUCUGUCUUUCAUGAGAGUCUCCACUGUUUCUUGACCGCCCUUAGAUUUAAACUUUUCUAAACUCUGAAUCAAAUACGCCAUUUACUUUGAAAAGAGAUUAAGAACUCUCUGUAACAUGGCUUGCUUCUUCCCCAGGCAAGAAACUUUAGGCCAUGUCUCUGAUGCUGAGGGUGAGACAAUGGUUCACUUCACUCUGAGUGACCUUGAAUUUAGGAACAGAACAUUUUAUUGGAGUGGGAGAGCAGCAGCCCCAGGUCUCUUUUAGCUCACCCCCCCAAAGUGGAACUUCUGCUCUAUAAACCAAGAAAGGCAAGAGGGUACAGGGCCCUUGUAUCUUCAGUAAUGUCAUGCUUUCAUCUCAUAAGUGCAGACUGUGUGGCAGAAGCACCCACCCCAAGUCUCACCAUUCCACACUCCCAGAAUUUAAACUCAGUAAUAAGCAGUUGGGGACAGCAUGAGAAAUUUUGAUCUUCAGCUUCUCCUAGGAAAAUAACCCUCUAAUUAGGAGCUAUAGGUAGUAAGAGGGCCUUAUGGUUUUGGUUGUGCCAGUCUGGAGCUGGAAUUUCCAUCUCAUUGACCCAAGAGAGGGGAGAGAUAGAAUAAGUGUUGGUUCAACAAUCACAGACUCUUAUUUCUUACCAUGUUUUAGCAGACCUUCUUGAAUAAAAGUUUUUGUUUGUUUGUUUGUUGUAUGCCCUUAAAACCAUUUCCAGAUAUUUUAAUGAUUGGCAUAUUGUUUAUUAAUUUUCAUCAGUUUUGCUGGAAAGCAUGUUCACAGGGCUCCUCACACUGUCAUACUAGAAGUCCUUUUUUAAGUUUUGAGUUUUGUGCUAACAGAAAGUCUAUAAGAAAUGCAUUGAAAAUAUUAUUUGUAAAUUGAGGCAUUAUACAAAUUAAUACUGUAAAAAUGUGAUUAGAUUAGAUACUUUUUCUAUCAAAAAUAUGCUUUUUGUUAAAUUUUCCUGUAGUGUUGGUUUAAUUUUAAUAUAAUAACUGAACAUGGUAUAUUAUUUAACAGUUGUAUUUGCUGUUAAGUUUUCAAUAUACUAUACUACUACUCAAUUUCAAAAUAUAUAUCUAUGCUCUUCAUAAAAACACUGAAAAUUAUCUGUAUACUUUAAAAUAAGUCCCUGCUUUCUGCCUCAUUUUUAAAAAUAACCUAGCUAGUUCAGCAUUUCCCACAUUGAAAACUUGUUAUGGUCACUGAACAAUUUCUAAUGUUUCAAAAUCAAUUUAGCUACCUAAUAAGAACAUCAGAUUUCCUCACUUUGGGAUAAAAUUAUUCUAAUUAAGCUUACAUGUAGAAGUUAUCACAUACUAAAAAAUCUACCUAGCUAUUAAGAAUAUUACACAAAUCUCUAAAAUUCAUUGUUUUUCAUGUGUGGUAAGGAAAAAUAUUUGUCUCACUUCUCAUCCUGAUUUUCUCCUAUUGAUUUCUCCUAUUAUUGGAAAAUAUAUAUUUCUACAACAGGGAAUGCAGGUUUUUUAGUUCCACCUCUGCCCUAAUUUUGAAAAAAAUCUUCGUUUUUAAUAUACCUAUUGAGAAAUUUGGUCCUAAGUGGUCAAAAGGGAAACAGAAAUUUUUUAAAAAAUGUAACUACUUUAAAAUAAAAUUCCUAUAGCCAUCCUCUUUCAAAAGAUUGAAGAAGGAAUACUCCCAAAGACAUUCUUUGAGGCUACCACCCUUCUAAUACCAAAACCAGACAAAGAUACUACCAAAAAAGAAAAUUAUGGGCCAAUAUCUGUUGAAUAAAGAUACAAAAAUUCUUAACAAAAUUUUAGCAAACUGAAUGCAACAACACGAAAGAGAUCAUACACCCAUAAUUAAGUGGGAGUCAUCUCAAGUUCAUAAGGAUGGUUCAACAUACACAAAUCAAUCAAUGUAAUAUAUCACAUUAACAAAAAAAAGCCAAAAAACACAUGAUAAUAUCAAUAGACACAGAAAAAGCAUUUGACAAAAUUCAACAUCCAUUCAUGAUUAAAAACUUUUAGCAAAGUUGGUACAGAGGGGAACAUAUCUCAAUAUAAUCAGUCAUUUAUGACAAACACACACCAAUUUAUUACUCAAUACAGAUUCUUUCCCACUAAAAUCUGGAAGAAGACAAGAAUGCCCACUCUCACCAUUUUUAUUCAACAUAGCAUUGGAAGUCCUAGCCACAGCAAACAGACAAAAAAAAAAGAAGGAAAGUAUCAAAAUUGGAAGAGAAAAGGUAAAAUUGUCACUAUAUGCAGAUGACAUAAUACUAUAUAUAGAAAACCCUAAGAAUACCACACAAAAACUACAUAAACUGAUAAAGGAAUUCAGCAAGGAAGCAGGAUACAAGAUUUAACAUUCAGAAAUCAGUUGCAUUUUUGUAUACUAACAAUGAAAUAUUGGAAAAGAACUAUUUAAAGAAUCAUUUUAAAAUAACACACCCACAAAAAUUAAAUACCUAGGAAUAAACCUGACCAAGGAGGUGAAAGACUUAUAUUCUGAGAACAUUAAUCAAGGAAAUUAAAGAGGAUUCAAAGAAAUGGAAAGGUACUCCAUGCUCAUGGAUUGGAAGAUUUAAUAUUGUUAAAAUGACCAUACUACCCAAAGCAAUCUACCGAUUUAAUAUGAUCCCUAUCAAAUUACCCAUGACAUUUUCACAGAGCUAGAACAAACAACCCCAAAAUUUAUGUGAAACCAUAAAAGACCCAUAACUGCCAAAGCAAUCCUGAGGAAGGAAAAAAAAAGCAACAGAAGAACAAAGCACAAGACAUAACUCUCAUAGUCUUCAAAAAUAUUAUAAAGCUACAGUAAUAAAGAGAGUGUAGUACUGGUACAAAAACAAACAUUUAGAUCAAUGGAACAGAAUAGAGGGCCCAGAAAUAAACCCAGACACUGAAGGUCAAUUCAACAAAGAAGGCAAGAAUAUAAAAUGGGGGAAAUAUAGCCUUUUCAGCAAGUGUUGCUGGGAAAACUGGACAGCUGCAUUUAAAUCAAUGAAACUGAACACAUCCUCAUGCCAUGAACAAAAAAUAAACUCAAAAUGGCUUAAAGACUUAAACAUAAGACAUGACACCAUAAAACUCCUAGAAGAGAACAUAGGCAAAACAUUCUCUGACAUCAACUGUACAAGGGUUUUCUUAGGUCAGUCUCCCAAAACAAUAGAAAUAAGAAUAAAAAUAAAUGAGCAAAACCUACUCAAACUUAUAAGAUUUUGCACAGCAAAGGAAACCAUAAAAAAGUAAAUCUAUGAAACGGAAGAAAAUAGUGCAAAUGAAGCAACCAAUGAGUGCCUAAUCACCAAAAUAUACAAACAACUCAUAUAACUCAACAAUAAAAAGGCAAACAACCAAUUGGAAAAUAGGCAGGGAAUUCCCCAUGGCUCAGAACUUAACAAACCUGACUAGUACUGAUGAGGAUGUGGGUUCAAUACCUGGCCUUGUUCAGUGGGUUAAGGAUCCAGCAUUGCUGUGAGCUGUGGUAUAGGUCACAGAUGUGGCCCAGAUCCUGUGUUGCUGUGGCUGUGGUGUAGGCCAGCAGCUGUAGCUCUGAUUUGACACC